rnacentral:rRNA from 1 species
UACGUAGGUGGCAAGCGCUAUCCGGAAUUAUUGGGCGUAAAGCGCGCGCAGGCGGCUUUUUAAGUCUGACGUGAAAGCCCACGGCUCAACCGUGGAGGGUCAUUGGAAACUGGGAGACUUGAGUGCAGAAGAGGAGAGUGGAAUUCCAUGUGUAGCGGUGAAAUGCGUAGAGAUAUGGAGGAACACCAGUGGCGAAGGCGACUUUCUGGUCCGUAACUGACACUGAGGCGCGAAAGCGUGGGGAGCAAACAGG